rnacentral:rRNA from 1 species
UACGGAGGGUGCAAGCGUUAAUCGGAAUUACUGGGCGUAAAGCGCACGCAGGCGGUUUGAUAAGUUAGAUGUGAAAGCCCCGGGCUCAACCUGGGAAUUGCAUUUAAAACUGUCCAGCUAGAGUCUUGUAGAGGGGGGUAGAAUUCCAGGUGUAGCGGUGAAAUGCGUAGAGAUCUGGAGGAAUACCGGUGGCGAAGGCGGCCCCCUGGACAAAGACUGACGCUCAGGUGCGAAAGCGUGGGGAGCAAACAGG